rnacentral:rRNA from 1 species
AACCUGGUUGGAUCCUGCCAGUAGUCAUAUGCUUCGUUCAAGGGCUAAGCCAUGCAUGUCUCAGCGCAAACGAGUUCCACAGUGGGUCUGUGAAUGGCUCCUUACAUCAGCAGUCAUUUCCAUGAUAGAGUGUGGAUGGCACCAACUGCCAGGUGCCCGCUUGGAUAUCCUCCAAAACCUGGUGGCUAAUACACGGACGUACUGGUCUGCCGCAUCACGGUGCUGUUAGUGGUUCUCUGCUGGCCCUGCCGGUGGUGGACUGCACCCAGCUGCUGAGAAGACCAGCACCUGGAAACGGUAGCGUGUCGUGGCUGACUCAGGCUGGUCCCUCUGGGACAACUGCGCUGGCAGAGUGGUGGCCUCGUGUCACAGCAUUGCUUGAUCGUACAAACUUCUGACCUAUCAGCUGUGACUGUGGUGUAGUGGACCACAGUGGCGAUGACGGGUGACGGAGAAUCAGGGUUCGACUCCGGAGAGGGAGCCUGAGAAACGGCUACCACUACCAAGGUGGGCAGCAGGCACGCAAAUUGCCCAAUGCUGAGACGGUUCUGGUGAGGCAGCGACGAACUGCAGCAAUCCCGCCUGUCCUCGUGACCGGUGGGACUUGCAAUGGAUGCUAUCCAAACACAGUUAUGAGUAACAACUGGAGGGCAAGUCUGGUGCCAGCAGCUGCGGUAAUUCCAGCUCCAAGAGUGUAUACUAACAUUGCUGCUGUUAAAACGCUUGUAGUCGGAUGCUGGGUGCAGGUCUGCCAGGUGGCCGGCGGGUGGUGGACCUCCGGGUCUGUUCUGCCCGUUGGAACUCAACCCCUGGCAGUAUGUUCCUGCACCCGUCCUGCAUGGUGGCCUGAUUUGCUCCUGCCCCAAGUCUCCUUCAGUGGGGAUCCAAGCGGUGUCAUGCCCAGUGCCCGUGUGGCGGAGUAUGUGUGUGCCCCGUGCAUGCCGUCCCGCCCACCACCGGAGUCAGCCACCGGUGUCACCGUGGAAAACUCAGUGUGCUCAACGCGUCCAUCUCGGCUGGAUGCCCGUCCAUGGAAUGUCAAAGCAUCGACCUGAUGUGGCCAAUUGUUGUGCUGGCCUUGGUGCCCUUCCAGGGCAAUGUGGUGCCGUCUCCCCUGGCCUUGGUCCCAGGCUUGCCUGGUCCGGGGCCUCCGGGUGUGGUGCCGAUUCGGACCUGAUGGGACUGCUCGGGGUGAAAGGUAUUGAAGCGCCAGAGGUGAAAUUCUUAGACCGCUGCAAGACCAACGGCGGCAAAGGCGUUCUGCAAGUGCAUGUCCGUCGAUCAAGAACGAGAGUGUGGGGAGCGAAGAUGAUCAGACACCGUCGUAGUCCACCACUGUAAACCAUGCCAGCUCGGUGCUGAGGGUGCAUCAUCAUCCAACACCCCCGGCGCCACUCCCCCUGCAACGAGAAAUCCAAGCCUUUGGGUUCAGGGGGGAGUACUGUCGCAAGGCUGAAACUUAAAGGAAUUGACGGAAUGGCACCACAAGGCGUGGAGUAUGCGGCUUAAUUUGACUCAACACGGGGAAUGUUACCAGGUCAGGACGAUGCCGGGAUGGACAGAUUGAGAGCUCUUUCUUGAUUCCUCGGAUGGUGGUGCAUGGCCGCUCCUGAAUUGGUGGAGUGAUUUGUCUGGUUGAUUCCGAUAACGAGUGAGACAUCUGCCUCCCAAUAGCCUGAGCCUCGCAUCUGGUAGGGUCUGGCCCGGUUGUGACUGGGCGGUGGGGCUUGCUCUGCCGUCCCAGGAUCCCGGUGCCACCCGAGAGGUUUCAGCCAAGCUUCUCUGAGGUGCUGUGUACGCCACCAAGUACAUGCAUGCUAGAGCCAACAGCAGGUCUGUGAUGCUCCCAGAUGUCCUGGGCCGCACGCGCACUACACUGGACCGGUGAAUGUGUUACGCCACUCACUCGUUGAGUCCUGCCUGGAAGUGGGUGGGAAACCACGGAAGCCCGGUCCGUGCUGGGGAUAGAUGAUUGCAACUGUCUGCCUUGAACGAGGAAUGCCUAGUAUGCGUGGGUCAUCAGCCCACACCGAUUGUGUCCCUGCCAUUUGUACACACCGCCCGUCGUUGCUACCGAUGGUAGCAGGAUAGAGUCAUCAGGAGACCUGGACCGCCUCCGUGUGGUCUGGAUCAAAAUUGGACAAUGUCCUGCUACUAGAGGAAGCAAAAGUCGUAACAAGGUUGUUGUAGGUGAACCUGCAGAAGGAUCAA